rnacentral:rRNA from 1 species
UUCGCAAUGCCCGAAAGGGUGACGAAGCGACGCCGCGUGGGUGAGGAAGGCCUUCGGGUUGUAAAGCCCUGUCAGGAGUUAAGAAAUGUAAGUGCGCUAAUAUCGCAUUUACUUGACGAAGGCUCCAAAGGAAGCCACGGCUAACUCUGUGCCAGCAGCCGCGGUAAUACAGAGGUGGCAAGCGUUGUUCGGAAUUAUUGGGCGUAAAGAGCACGUAGGUGGAUUUGUAAGUCAGAUGUGAAAGCCUUCUGUUCAACGGAAGAAUUGCAUCUGAAACUACAAACCUUGAGUAUAGGAGGGGAGAAUGGAACUUCUGGUGGAGCGGUGAAAUGCGUAGAUAUCAGAAGGAACGCCGGCGGCGAAAGCGAUUCUCUGGCCUAUUACUGACACUCAGUGUGCGAAAGCUAGGGGAGCAAACGGGAUUAGAUACCCCGGUAGUCCUAGCCGUAAACGAUGGGCACUAAGUAGAGGGGUUUU